rnacentral:rRNA from 1 species
AUGAACGCUGGCGGCGUGCCUAAUACCUGCCAGUCGCACGAACAGACGAGGAGCUUGCUCCUCUGACGUUAGCGGCGGACGGGUGAGUAACACGUGGAUAACCUACCUAUAAGACUGGGAUAACUUCGGGAAACCGGAGCUAAUACCGGAUAAUAUAUUGAACCGCAUGGUUCCAUAGUAAAAUACGGUUUUGCUGUCACUUAUAGAUGGAUCCGCGCCGCAUUAGCUAGUUGGUAAGGUAACGGCUUACCAAGGCAACGAUGCGUAGCCGACCUGAGAGGGUGAUCGGCCACACUGGAACUGAGACACGGUCCAGACUCCUACGGGAGGCAGCAGUAGGGAAUCUUCCGCAAUGGGCGAAAGCCUGACGGAGCAACGCCGCGUGAGUGAUGAAGGUCUUCGGAUCGUAAAACUCUGUUAUUAGGGAAGAACAAAUGUGUAAGUAACUAUGCACGUCUUGACGGUACCUAAUCAGAAAGCCACGGCUAACUACGUG